AUGGGCCAUCUAGCUCAAAGCAGAAGACCUUGGGUCUCUUGGUAUCAUCUAGCUCAAAGCAGAAGACCUUGGGUCUCUUGGUAUCAUCUAGCUCAAAGCAGAAGACCUUGGGUCUCUUGGUAUCAUCUAGCUCAAAGCAGAAGACCUUGGGUCUCUUGGUAUCAUCUAGCUCAAAGCAGAAGACCUUGGGUCUCUUGGUAUCAUCUAGCUCAAAGCAGAAGACCUUGGGUCUCUUGGUAUCAUCUAGCUCAAAGCAGAAGACCUUGGGUCUCUUGGUAUCAUCUAGCUCAAAGCAGAAGACCUUGGGUCUCUUGGUAUCAUCUAGCUCAAAGCAGAAGACCUUGGGUCUUUUGGUAUCAUCUAGCUCAAAGCAGAAGACCUUGGGUCUCUUGGUAUCAUCUAGCUCAAAGCAGAAGACCUUGGGUAUCUUGUUAUCAUCUAGCUCAAAGCAGAAGACCUUGGGUCUCUUGGUAUCAUCUAGCUCAAAGCAGAAGACCUUGGGUCUCUUGGUAUCAUCUAGCUCAAAGCAGAAGACCUUGGGUCUCUUGUUAUCAUCUAGCUCAAAGCAGAAGACCUUGGGUCUCUUGGUAUCAUCUAGCUCAAAGCAGAAGACCUUGGGUCUCUUGGUAUCAUCUAGCUCAAAGCAGAAGACCUUGGGUCUCUUGGUAUCAUCUAGCUCAAAGCAGAAGACCUUGGGUCUCUUGGUAUCAUCUAGCUCAAAGCAGAAGACCUUGGGUCUCUUGGUAUCAUCUAGCUCAAAGCAGAAGACCUUGGGUCUCUUGGUAUCAUCUAGCUCAAAGCAGAAGACCUUGGGUCUCUUGGUAUCAUCUAGCUCAAAGCAGAAGACCUUGGGUCUCUUGGUAUCAUCUAGCUCAAAGCAGAAGACCUUGGGUCUCUUGGUAUCAUCUAGCUCAAAGCAGAAGACCUUGGGUCUCUUGGUAUCAUCUAGCUCAAAGCAGAAGACCUUGGGUCUCUUGGUAUCAUCUAGCUCAAAGCAGAAGACCUUGGGUCUCUUGGUAUCAUCUAGCUCAAAGCAGAAGACCUUGGGUCUAUUGGUAUCAUCUAGCUCAAAGCAGAAGACCUUGGGUCUCUUGGUAUCAUCUAGCUCAAAGCAGAAGACCUUGGGUCUCUUGGUAUCAUCUAGCUCAAAGCAGAAGACCUUGGGUCUCUUGGUAUCAUCUAGCUCAAAGCAGAAGACCUUGGGUCUCUUGGUAUCAUCUAGCUCAAAGCAGAAGUCCUUGGGUCUCUUGGUAUCAUCUAGCUCAAAGCAGAAGACCUUGGGUCUCUUGUUAUCAUCUAGCUCAAAGCAGAAGACCUUGGGUCUCUUGGUAUCAUCUAGCUCAAAGCAGAAGACCUUGGGUCUCUUGUUAUCUGUGCAUUAAAAACGUUCUCGCUGUUUAA
rnacentral:lncRNA from 8 species